UGUAUAUCUGUGGAAAGUAAACGGUUUGAAUCAGAAUCAGCUUAAUUAGCCAAGUACAGUGCACGUACAAGGAAUUUGGCUUCGGUGUCUUGUGUUUGGAUUGAUGAUGUCCAAUUUUGUUGGGAGGGAUAAAAUGCUGGACGGGUUUAAAAUCGGCAACAGGACUGUUCAAAGUCGGUGCAUUGCCAUUGGUUUCCUGUCUUUAUCUGCCAGCAUAUAUUUCUGAUGAGGAUGUAACCCUGAUCAAUGUUAGAUGUUCACUCCGACAUCCUACAGACAGUACCCUUACUCUGACACUAGGGGGAGACGCCCUUUUGAGAGACGCUUCCUAAAGCGUCAAGGAGGGAGGAAGUUUCUUCUCCUUGUUUUUUUAUUUAUUUUUUCAUCUGCGACGACACGGUGAGACGAAAGGACAUCAGUGUUGUUACAUAUCAACACUGGAUGACUAUUCUAAAGAUUUCUAAACAGUUGUGUUUGACAAAUAUAUCCUGGAGUGGACUGAAUCCACGGUGGUGCUGUGGCAUCACCUGAAUCCACGCUCACCUGUUUCCCCACACUCACCGCUUCUAAGUUACUAGGGUGGUAAAGCUGCAUCUCUAGUUCAGACUAAAAAAAAAAAAGUUUUUUUUUUCUUCCCUACACAGUUUUUCUCCUUUUUUUUUCUUCCUGUUUUCAAUUUUUUUGUUCUGAGAUCUCAAAAUUUAAGUACUUGGGUUUAGAGUGUUUGGAUUCAACAUAGGUUUAAUAAGAAAUACUGAUUAAGAACUGUUUAAUUAUUUCAUGUUUAUGAUUCAUGUAACUUUCGGGUUCUGGCAUUGUGUUUAAAUUUUUUUUUUUUUUUUUACACCAAAUCCACAGUUGAAUUUCAUUCUCAAUCUGCUAUAUUUACAUUGGUUUUCUUGGAAAUGAUGUGUACUGAAUAACAUCAAAACUUGCAAAUAGGUUAUUUUUUAAAACAUAAUUUAAUCUGCGUUGUGAGUUAGUGAUUACUACCGCAUUCCUCCUGUGCAAAUCUAAUGUAGGAAGAAAUAAGUUCGUAGUUGACCUCCCACUUAGGGUUAACCUGGUAGGCAGGGUUACAAGGAGAUCCUAGAAAGUGCCUGAAAUUAAAAGGCGGAUUGGCCGGGAACCAGUGUGGCGGACGGAACUAGGUUAAUUAAAUGAGGGCGGCCAAUCUCUGCCGCAUUCUGAGAAAUUCAACACGGUUACUGGACCAGAAUUCUUUCGAGUCAUACAUGACAAACAGGUGAAGGUGUGCAGGAUCUGUGUCCGGCCGGGUCACAUAGUCAGACUGUCCUGAGUUUCUGUGCAAUAAAUGCGGCGUGCAGGGACAUUGCGCUAGAGAGUGCACCUAGUCGGUCUCCAAAUGCUCCAUGUCUGAAUUAAAUGGAGACCUGUGUUUUUGAGUGACAGUGAGGACAGAGCAACGUCCGCUGCAAGUGAGGUUUUUCUCAGUGACAUGUCUGAGGAGGAGCAUCUGUCCGACUCCGUGCCCGACACACAGGUGUCUGCUGCGCCCUGCAGCGCAAGUGGAGCAGAGGUUCGAUCCCCUGAGGGGGGAGGCGUUCUCGGUCAGCAGGCGGCUCACAGCAGCCCCGACCUGCUCCGAGCGGCAGAGGUUUCGGGGGAAUCCUACUGUCGACAGCCGCGGUCUCGUGAAGGAGGGCGAGCAGCACCAGACCGCUGCCGCUGCUCCUGUCCGGGCGGGGGGGGGCUCCCGUAGUGAGUCCUGCCUCGUUAUGGUCUGGUUUCGGGCCUCGUCCUGCAGAAAGUGCCUGAGGAGCGCAGCGCUGCUGCCUCUGCUCCGGGAGAGUCAGAUCUCCAUGGGGGGGAGGCGGGCAGCAAGCCUUUUUCUUUACCCCCUCAGGAGGAUGUGAGGGCAGACAGUAUGCCUGAUGUAUUGGUUGAGGACAUGGAAGAUGCUGACAUGGAUGUAGAUGUGUUUGCAUGGACGCCACAGAGGAAGUGGACUUUGAGAAAACAUCUGAAGAGCAAGAAAAAGAAAUCUGCGUAAUGUCGCUGUGCGUCUUUUUAUUUAUGGUCUGUCUCCUCACCCUAAAUAUCAGGGGAGUGUGCAAUAUGGACAAAGUAGAUAACCUAUUUACUGUUAAAAUUGACAUCCUCUGUUUACAAGAGGUGCGCUGGAACAUGGAGCCGCAUGCGUAUGCUCAGCAGCUGUGGGGAGGGUCCUCUUUUUACGCAGCGGGUCCGGACGGAUCAGCUAGGGUCGCCGUAUUUGUCAGGAAUUCAGUCUUUGAUGGGGUGACCUUACUGGAGGCAGAUCCUGCAGGCCGGAAACUGAUUCUGGAUUUGGAGUGGGCUGACAUGAACUUUAGGUGAUUUAACAUCUACGCCUCUAAUGAUCAGGUGGAGAGGAAGGCUUUUAUUUUAUUUAUUUAUUUAUUUUUAAAUUCCCUAAGGCCAGGGCUCCAGACCAUGUCUAGGGUUGUCCAGAAGGGUAGUUUACUGGAUGUUAAUCAGACCCCAUUCUGGCAGUACAAUUUGGUGAGCUGAUUCACACAGGCUUCUCUUCUCGGCCUUGCAGCCUUUUGUCAGCGAUGGCCGGUGCCGUGUCACAUGUUAUGUGGUUACAAAAAUGGUUAAAAUUGUGACUUACCAACAGCAGUGAGUGUCUGCGUACAGGAUUUUGGGAGCAGGUUCUUGUGCACGCUUGAACCUGGCAGUCAGUCCACGGGCCAGUCUUCUGUAGCUCUCCUCAGACUCUGACGCCACCACAACGGUGGUCACAAAUUGACCCCAUUCGUUCAGCACGCUGGUGAGGUACUGCAGUGUUGCUUGGCCAUCACCGUAGAUCUUUUUCAGGAGCUGCAACACACAAACAACAAAAUAGAAGCUGAUUACAUGCAGUGUUCUUACCAAAUCCCCUGAAUGUCUUUUUUUAAAUCAAAUAUAUUGUAAAUACCUGCUUUGUGCCGUCGAUGCACAGGAUUUCUCCUGUCACGCUCAGUAUGGAGGAACGAUACACAGACAUCUUCUCCAUCUCGCUGAUCAUGUGCGCUCGACGCAGCACUCGCGCAGAUGGAAGACGGCUCUGCUGAAGGGGAGGUGUGUACUGUCCCGGUGACUUCAGGUAGGACAGGAUCCCGCUCUGGGAGGAGCUGCCUCUGAGGGUGUGGGCGUCAUACAGCAGCGUUUGGUAGAGGCCUCUGCGGUCCAUGUACCACUCAUCGUGCCCCUGCUGGAUGAGCCGCUGCACUUUGCUCAUGCUCAGUGAGUUGAUGCGAUCAUUGAGCAGAGUCACCGCACUUCUGUCAAUGGCGCGCUUUCCACACAGGAUGGCUGGAAACAUGUGCUGCACAGCUGGAGCCAAAUUCAUGAGGAUUCUGGGGCUGGAUGCCAACCAGCUGUACUGCUGCUGGGGGUCCUGGUCUCUGGUCAUCUCACUGGCGUUCCUCACCUUUUCACAGUGAGUGCACAGCAGUCGUUCAGACAGCAGAGUAUAAAAGGACUUCAGACCACAAACCUGUCGUGCAGAAGAGGAAAAACCUUUUCUGAUCAGAAAAGUAUCUGGUGGGGCUGGGCAGCUGGGGUUUGGGCACCUAACCUUUACAUGUAAAAUGCCAACAGGGCGCCAAAAAAAGACAGGUGCUGUGAAAAAAGAGUGCAUGUUUGGCACCGAGCCACCCAAGUAUGUUGGAAUAGGUGGUGGAAGGAAUUCCAUCCUGUCCUUAAGCAGCUUCCGCCUAACAGUUUCCCCGUUUUUGUUCCUGUAGGCUGUGGCUGCCUUAUACAGUCCAUGAUCCUCAUCGUCUUUCAGUCACCUGAUGUCUUGCAGUGGAAUACCUUGAUAGUUGGCUGUUGAUGGCUCCUCCCACGUUUUCUGCCAGCCUUCAAGGAUGAGAGCCGCCUCAGUCGUGCGUUGAACAGCUGACUGUUUUUAAUUUUAGUGACUUCAUCUUUUUGAUCAAUGUUAAAUGAGUGGAAACUGCGACAUCAGAUGACACCAGGACGUCCUCUACAAGAAAAGCAUACGUGAAAACACCAGUAAGUCAAAAGUAUACUAAUAUUACCUUGUCAUUUGAUAGUUAUAAAUGAGCAAAUACCUGCUAAUGUCAGAAGCUCAGCAUCUUCAAUGUAACCAGGAUGGUGCUGGCUGCUGACAGGAGGAACAGAUGUUUCCUCCUCUUUUGCUUUGAGUUUCUGUGGGGAAGAAACAUCCAAACUGUUCAUGUAGUUAAAAAUGGACCUCAUACACUCACAUCACAUUGAACAGAAUCAUAUAUGCUGAUCUGUUCGAUUAUGGGAUGGUUACCUGUACUCUCCUGUCCAGGUGACUUGUAAUGGAGAGAAACUGCUUCACCAGCUGCAGCAGCCUCUCCUUCUGCCACUUCAUUGCUUCAUUUUUUUUCUCCUUUUACAAUGAAUUCUGCCAACAACCAAACGAUCCAUCACACGUCGUAUUCAAGCAGCCACUUGAAUGUUUGGCCAGCAUAUUUCCCAAACGUGAUGACUAGAGCUGCAAGCCACAACUCUCCUCCAGACUUUUUUGCAGCAUCUUCUGCAGUGAUGCUGUUUAACCAGACGGGAUCUACUGUCCUGGAUUCUUUUUCCAUCUGUCGAGCUAAACUCGUGCAGGUCAGCCGCGCUUCAUCCGGCCUGUACUGCGGGAUACAGAUGCUGCUUCAGGUGGGCCUGCAGAUGCUACUUCUGCGUGAAAGAAACCCGGCGGUGUGGUGUGUGUCUUCACGUUAUGAGAGAGAUUCAACUUCGGCCUGUACAGCGGGAUCACGGGAGUCUUGGGGCGGUUUUGUCGGCUGUACGGUCCUGUGGGAAGGUGCCGAGUGAUGUGUGGAACCUGAAGUCCAUGAGCUGGUACACGGUUGUGUCAGCCUUGGAAUUCCAAGAUUCCAGCAGCAGAAGCGGCCUCUGGGACCUUGUUUUCAGGAACUCAGAGCCAUAGUGAAGUCCAGGUGUGCCUUUGAGUGGACCUUGGAGGUCUAUUGGAGGUGGGCCUCUCCUUGGGGUGUAGAGGGAGCGGAGGAGACCUGGAGUCUGGGGGAUCUCGUGCUAGCUGUGGGGCGCUAUGAAAUCUACCGCGCCAGGACAAUAAAGCUUAAGGAGGGACGGAGAAUGGACAGGCGGGCUGCUGAAUCACACCACAAAGGAGCAGCCGGUGACCUUUCACCGGCUCGGACCUGACAGACUCUCUGGACCUGGCACACUUUCCAGAAAAAAAAAAAAAGGAGAAAGAAAACCGACCCAUCUUGAUGACGAGCUGAUGGCCAAAUGGUUGGGAUGGUACAACCAUCAGAAUGGGAGCAUUUGCAUGUCUUUGUGAUGCUGUGGGACUCACUUUUGGCUCAACUUUCCUCCAUGUUGCAGUAGGCUCGGUCACCUCCAAGCUCUUUUCUGUCGUUGUCUUGCCAGUUAGAUGACGGACUACAACAUAUUGCACUGCUAGUUUUGUAACACGGGUGCCAACCUGGUCCAUUGUAUUUAUUUUCCUCACCUGUUGCGUGUGUACUACGUGCCUUGCGUGCCUUGGGUCAUGUGACCGCGACCAACCAAUCAGUUAGCUUUAUAAGUCGCUACCCCAGAAGCUAUCACAGUACAUGACAGGAGAGCCGAAUUAUGACGCUACAAGGUAUGUUUGGCUUCGGAUUUACUUUAAAAUCAUUUGAUCUCGUCCUGAUCUUUCCCAUAUGAUUAACUUGUAGGAGCCAACUACCAGCUUAAACCGGCCGCAAAUAAGCUGCGUAUUUGACACAUUUUGAUGACAUCGGUGAGUCUAUACUUCCUACUGUUUGUUGUGGUUAGCUUAGCAUGAACGUCAUGUCAAUGAAUGACGUGGACAGGUUAACAGCUGCUAUCAUCAAUGCCAAAUUUCUGUUUUCUACAACAUUGAUGUUUACACUACAUGGUAACAUUUUUUGUUAAUGCAACCACAUUGAUUAUUAAUUAAUGUAUAGGUUCUUUAGUUAUUUUGUCUAAUUAAAUUAUUUUGCUGUUGUAUUAUGAACCGAAAUGCACUUUAAAUUGAGAAGCCAUUCCAAUGAAUGGAAACGCACCCUUAUGUGCCUUUCUCUUGAGCUUGUUCAAGUGCUAAUGAUUCACUGAAAAGUUUUUAACGAAUUGAGAGCUGAAUGUGUAUUGUACAAUGCUGGAACUUCAAAUGACAGAAUUUACAUGACUAAUACAAUUUAUAUUUUUAUAUUUAGAGGAAGAUCUUGUGUGCACACAGAAUGUAAUUAAUUUUUGGAUCAAAUGGGUCCUGUUCUUUAUCCAGGCCUUAUAUAGAUGGUGAGCUAAGCCCGAACCAGAAAAGAGACCAGGCAUUGGAGCCUGCCUAGGAACUUCCUUCAUGCUAUUGCUCAGUCCGGGCUGGUAGGAGGCUCCUGUAGCCUACAGACUCAUUUCUUUUUGUUUUUGCAUUCUUCCUACGACCCAGUGACCUUUUCAUAGACUUCAAUCACUCCCCUUCACUGGACACCUGCCUCUGGAUUUAUCAAUCCCUGUCUGGGUUGUAUGGACGAUGCAUGAGCUGAUUCAGAUACACUGGAUCACUCAAAGGACUAUUAUUUGUAAAUAGUUGAACACUGUAAUUUCUUGGAUUUGUGCUUUCCCUAUUUGCAUAUUAUUGCAUGUUAUGUCUGUUUUUUCCCCCCAAAUUAUUACAAAAUAUUUUUUUCAAAACAAA